rnacentral:rRNA from 1 species
UACGAAGGGUGCAAGCGUUAAUCGGAAUUACUGGGCGUAAAGCGCGCGUAGGUGGUUCGUUAGGUUAGGAGUGAAAGCCCCGGGCUCAACCUGGGAAUUGCUUCUAAAACUGGCGAGCUAGAGUAUGGUAGAGGGUGGUGGAAUUUCCUGUGUAGCGGUGAAAUGCGUAGAUAUAGGAAGGAACAUCAGUGGCGAAGGCGACCACCUGGACUGAUACUGACACUGAGGUGCGAAAGCGUGGGGAGCAAACAGGAUUAGAUACCCCGGUAGUCCCUGAG